GAUGCUGUCCCCACUACUGAUCACGGGACAGCGGUCCCUGACCGGCGUGCUGGGGUGGGGGACACACCUGUCUCCCCUGCACCGGCGGUACUGCCCUCCGACCACAACACAUUUUCCUGUCAAAGCCUAUCAGAGCCAAGAGAACGAAGGGGCGCCUGGUUCACUCCGGGGGGUCUGCACUGCUUUAGCUGACUGCUGAUGAGGUCUUUGUAGCCCCAAGUUAUCCAGUGCCAAGGCUGUGCUCCUUUUUUCAUCAUCAUAUGCCUCUUCUACAGUGUCCUGUGAGUCCACUCUCAGGGGACUCUGCUGUCAUACCAGUGUUUUGGCAGACUAGGAUAAAAGGGACGCUGGCCUCUGCCCUACUGCUGUUCAGGAAACACGUCCAGCUCGUGCCCUGCUAACUGAGGUUUCUUCCUUUGCUGGGAGCCGUUCCUGCAGGCUGGAAAUCUGCUUCUUGGACACCGGUUUCCAGAGACGCAGUGUCAUCAUCCCCAUUUCCCCAGGGCGGAGGAGGCAGAAGGAGCGGCGGUGGCUGCCGUCGGGGCACCCGGAGAAGCAGUGCUCCGGCGGGCUGUCCGGCCGAGCGCAGGCUGCCGAUGUCUGUGCCCCGGGGAGCGCCGUGCUCGCCACACGGGAGCCGCUCCAGCACCUCGGAGAGCUCCCGGGGCCGGGCCGCGCCCGCCGGCGCCGCCUCCCCCGUCCCGGAGGGGCCGCAAUUCCAGCGGCAGGCACUGCUCCUGGCAGCUGGCUCUCCGGGCGUUGCUUCAAAUCGAGCUCCUUCGUUUUGUUUCGGAACUGGCAUGGGUUUAAGCUCGCAUUAGUAUCUCCACGCCCGGAGAAGGAAAGACCACGGUUGCAAUGUCCAAGGAGCUUCUGCCCUGCCCUCCCAGGAGGGAGCACGAAGGGAAACUGGUUUUCCCCCAAUCCUGGGUUUUUUCCUCCCUCUUAGGGGAAGCUGGGGCGUGUCCCCCAUGGUCUCCCGAGUUCACUGUUCACUCUGAGUCCCAGAAACGCUGACUUUAAUUGUACCCCCGCUCCCUGCUCAGGCUGCUCUAUCAUCUGAGAAAUACUCAUGAGGUCUCAGCCUUGACAAGCUGCACCUGGACUAAGCCCCUCUCCAGCUUAUCAGAAACACUGUCUGUUCCCAGGAAAUAGUGUUGUCUAGUGAGCAUUUGUUUUUUAACAAGUGGCCUUGGGAACUUAAUUUUUCUUGUCUGAAUAACAACUCAAAUGGAAUAAUAUUUCUGUUGACGAACCUUCAAAAAAAGUUACCAACUCAAAUUGUGGCCAGUAUGAAAAAUAAUUAUGACUAAACCAAAUUUUCUUAUAAUCCUGUGGACAGUGGUCCAAAGUGAGAUCCUUUUGAGCUCUCAGUUUCCAAAAGACAAGGGGAUGAUGUGUAUGUCUCAAAUACUGAUGACCGGAUGGCUGUG